rnacentral:rRNA from 1 species
UACGGAGGGUGCAAGCGUUAUCCGGAUUCACUGGGCUUAAAGGGUGCGUAGGCGGGCAGGUAAGUCAGUGGUGAAAUCUCCGGGCUCAACCCGGAAACUGCCAUUGAUACUAUCAGUCUUGAAUAUCGUGGAGGUAAGCGGAAUAUGUCAUGUAGCGGUGAAAUGCUUAGAUAUGACAUAGAACACCAAUUGCGAAGGCAGCUUACUACCCGAAUAUUGACACUGAGGCACGAAAGCGUGGGGAUCAAACAGG